rnacentral:lncRNA from 1 species
CUUUUCUGAAAGGGACCCUAAGAGAAACAACCAGCCUUAGGAAGCCCUGAGCAAGGAAGAGGUUGGAAUCAUCAUGGUGUGGCAUGCCAACACUUUAUAACUAUUAGACAUGGAUGAUCCAUUUCAUUUCCCUGAAUUAUCAUCCAGAAAAGGAAAUAGUGACCUGACACAAGACACCUGUCCUCAACUUCGCACCGUGGUGAGAGGUAACCAGGAUAAACUGCACUUUACUGUGAAAACCGACACCCACUUCCAUCCUGCCAGGGUCUUGUGUCGUUUGCCUCAUUGUCAAGGGGACUUUACUUUCCCUGCUCAUACCACAAGGAUGUGGCAAGGAUCAGGUAUGUGGAACUGUGUUGGGAUCUGUAAGAGACACACUCCAGCCAGCCAGCCAUCUGUCCAUCCAUCCGUCUGUUUGUCUAUUUAUUGCCUUUAUUGAACUUUCAUUCACACUCACGCAUGCAGAUGCUCACAGAGCCCCGAAAUCACAGUGUCCCUCUUUUGUCAGACUAAUAAAUGGAACUUGAAGAGGUUAAGA